rnacentral:rRNA from 1 species
UACGAAGGGUGCAAACGUUGCUCGGAAUUAUUGGGCGUAAAGCGCACGUAGGCGGCUUCGCAAGUCGGAUGUGAAAUCCCUCGGCUCAACCGAGGACGUGCAUCCGAAACUGCGGAGCUUGAGUACUGAAGAGGAUCGCGGAAUUCCUGGUGUAGCGGUGAAAUGCGCAGAUAUCAGGAGGAACACCGGUGGCGAAGGCGGGGUCUCUGGACAGUUCCUGACGCUGGAGGCACGAAGGCCAGGGGAGCAAACGGG